UGUUUAUCAAUUACCCAAUCUUGGGUAGUAUCUUCCAGUUAUAAAUUACCCAAUCUUGGGUAGCCCAUCUUCAGUGUGAAAAUGGCCUAAUAGAUUCAUCUUUCUAGCUAAGAUGCAAAUUCUCUGAAGGGAAGGAGUUAUUGCAAACAAACUUAAGCCAGUUUCAGUAUAUGCAAUGUUGGUUCUCUUUGGUGGAAACAGUAGUCACUGAAGAAGAUGUUGGAGGUGGGUGAGGUUCCAGGUGGGUGAGGUUUAUCUGCUUCCCACACCCUCCCUGUCCCAUGACAUUGAUGGGAAAUCUCACAUCAAAUUCUGCCACAUAUAUGAACAUUCACUAAAAAAGAACUUAUUAGCUAGUAAAUGAAAGACAGUUUAUAAAGUCUGAUCUUUAAGGGCCGUGAAACCCAAGCUCUCUACCCUUUGAAGUGCUUUGGCCACUGUCUUAUAUGAAAAGUUUAUCUGAGACAGAUAUGACAACAGUCUCAUAUGACAACAUUCUCUUAUGACAACAUAUGAGGGUAACACAUAUGUUACCCUCAUACGUGGCAUUGGGCAACCAGACAUCCUCCUAACAAGUGGCUAGAUGUAGGACCAGUUGGGAUCAAGUUUCUGAUGCCUUCCCUGAGGGUGCAGGCAGCAGGCCUUCCUAGAUUUCUCUAACCUAUUUAUGUGAGUGGUUCUGAACUAUUUUAGCCCCAUCCACGCAUCUCAAAUAUCUUCAGUUUCACCCAGUUAAGAGCCCACAUUCACUGUGCAGACUACUAGCUACUACUUGAAUUAAUAAAAACCCUUUCUGACAUUCACUAUGCUAAGCCAAACAUAAGGUACUGAUCAAGAUAUGGAUAUCAUUGGUGCUCACAGCAGCUGCCUUAACUUCCUAAUUGGAAUGGAGCUGACUAUGCCCUGAUUGUGUUCUUGGCAAGAGGUGCUGCCCUUGGAGUCAGAGCUUCUACCAAAUAGCACAAACUCAAUAUUUUCUGUCUAUGCUGAACUUUGUGAAGCUUCUCUGAAACUUUCCUGGAAGAUCCGGCAACACCAGGCCUUCUUUCUUGCAUGGUCACAGGAGAUGAGAGCAGAGUUGUCUAAACAAGGUACCCCUUUUCUGUGAACUUGAAUGCAGCCUCCCACAGGUUUGGACAAAAGAAUGGCAGGAAGAGGACAGGUGGAACAGGAUGGAGGAAAGAGGUAGCCCUCAUAGGUACGGGUGCAGAGCUCAGAGUGGCAAAGGAACAGCAGAAGUCUUGUUCUCCCAUGCCCCUGCCAAGUCCUGCUGCAACAAAAUGAUGAGCUUGGAACCGACUGCCAACUGCCACAAAGGGAACCCUUAUUACAGAGAGCUCCCUGAAACACCCGUGGAAACAGCAUGCAAAAGAUCUCUGCUCAUGCUUUGAAGAAUGCAGAAAACUUUCCUUGCCACCGUAUGUGGAGCAUCGCCCACAGAGAAGGGAAGGGGAAAACUCACACCCAUCUCCUCCCCUCCACCCCAAUCCUGGGCCCCAACUAAAACCUCAGCUUCUUUCCCUCAACCUAUCACAAGGGCCUCCCACCAGUCUUCCAUCAGUGAGGGUGGGCUUUUGCAAAUGCAAGCCUGCCCGAGCUACUUACUCUACUCUUUAAGAUAUUUUCACAAGCCCUUAUAGCUGGGGGGAAUAAAAUCCAGUGUACAGAAGUUCUAGUAGAGGCAGUGAAUACUAGUGAUUUAAAAGCAUCCUCAGAAAUCACAGGCAAUGCAAGAACCCCUGGAUAAACAUAAAAUGAGUUUCUCUAUAAUACUCAGAUGCCAGGCCUAGGGCCAGAGCCAAAGGAAUCCCACCUAGACUCUGGGGCCCUUGGUUUUGGGCCUGUUCCCCAGCUUCUUCUAUGCUGCAGCUCUUCCAUCUCCUCAGAAGAGAAGUGGUGGGGGUGAGGGGUGUCAGUUACCAAACGGCAAGUCCCUCCCUGAAGAAAGUGCUGUGGAAAGGGCAGCCCCAAACAGUGGGUUCCCCAGCCUGAGGGAGUAAAAAGGAUGGAGCAGCCCCAGGAAGGCUAAAGUGUGCAUUCCAAAAGUCUUGAACACCUAAGUUGUCAAUCAAAGCAGUUCAGCUGGCAGCCGAGAGACCAGCAGCAGAGGCAAACAAGAGUCCUGAAGGGUAGAGAGAGUCAGAGUCAGCAGAAGGAGGAUCAGGUCAACUCUGAAGAUGAAGUACAAAUGCCUAAGGCGUUUUGCCCUCCUUUGAAAAAUGUGUAAUUACACAAGUAAUGCAUGAAUAAAUUAUACUGAGAAAAUAUAUCACUUCAGGCCAACAUGCAGAAACCCCACCUCUACUAAAAAAAAAUACAAAAUUAGCCAGGCAUG
rnacentral:lncRNA from 1 species